GGCGAGAGACCGAUAGCGAACAAGUACCGUGAGGGAAAGAUGAAAAGAACUUUGAAAAGAGAGUCAAACAGUACGUGAAAUUGUUGAAAGGGAAACGAUUGAAGCCAGUCGUACCGACGGGAAUUCAACUUUUUAAGUGCUUGUCGUGGGUGACGUUGAGCCUCACGGCCUUCGUUGCUUUGCGUUAUGGUGCUUUUAGGGUGUACUUUUCCGUAUGGUAGGUCAAUAUCGAUUUUGGUCGUCAUAAAA
rnacentral:rRNA from 1 species